rfam:Ictidomys tridecemlineatus contig055359, whole genome shotgun sequence.
GGUGAUAUAGCUCAGUUGGUAGAGUGCUUGCCUUGCAUGCACGAGGCUCUGGGUUCAAUCCCUAGCAACACAC